rnacentral:tRNA from 3 species
GCCGGAGUGGCGGAAUUGGCAGACGCGCGGGACUCAAAAUCCCGUGGUGGCAACAUCGUGCGGGUUCGACCCCCGCCUCCGGCACCA